GGGCACAUGGUGUAGUUGGUUAUCACGCUCGCUUAGCAUCAAUAAAGAUACAAUUGCGAGAGGUGUUGGGUUCAAUUCCCAAUGUGUCCA